GUAAAAAGAUUACAAAAGGACAGCAAAUAUCCUGUAUCUUCUAACUUGUUUAUAUGAACAACCAAAACAAUGGAGCUUAAACUUAAUUUGAGCUAAAAAUCUCCCUUUUGUUUUUGUUUACCAAUUCAAUGGCGGAAAAUUAUAGCCUUCGUUUCCAUAAACAGACAACCAAUUUUAGCGAGAACGAAGUCGAACAGGAGAACCCCACAUACUCCUUUUCUCCUUAUAAUCCCACCUUCUUUAUUCCCUCAUUUGACUCGAGCACCGAAUCCGUUGAUUCGGAGUCCGAUCGCUCCGACUUGAUCGGAAACCCUAGUUCCUUUUUCUACUGCAAUGAAGACCAAAUGGACCUUGUAACCGAUUUGUUGGACUCCCGAAAUGACGAAGUAACGGAUCAUCCCCAUGUUGUUCACAACAAUUCUAAUUCUAGGGUUUUGCCAGACGAUGAAGAAGUAGAGCUUGGGUUUGAAUUUGAUGGACUUCGGGUCGUUGGGGUAGACUCCGAGUCCGAUUCAGAAGACGAGGAGGUUAUUCACCAAAUUGGCAAUUCGAGUGUGCCGGAUUUGUGGAACUGUUUUCGGGUUGGUGAUGAGGGGGAUUUGGAUGAAGAUUCAGAGUGGGAAGAAGUUGAGAGGGUUGAAGGGAGGGAGGACAAUAUUAGUUAUCUGAUUGGACGAAUGGAAGAAAUUUCUGUUUCUUCUGAUUUCUCUUCUGAAGAAGGAAAUUUGGGUUUGGGUGAAGAUGGAGAAGAGGGGCAAUCGAGGAAUUUAGAAUGGGAAUUUCUGGUGGCGGUUAAUGAUCUCGAAAGGAGCCUUGAAUUUCACAAUGCUGUUAUACUUCAAGAUGGCGGUGGGUUUGGUGCUGUUGAUUUUGUUGGAAGCCAAGAGAGGUUAAAGGGUAGUCCACCAGCAGCUAAAUCUGUGCUGGAAAAUCUUCCUUUGGUGGUCGUGAGUGAUGAACAUUUGAAAGGAAGCAAUGCAGCUUGUGCAGUUUGCAAAGAUGAGAUUUUGUCAACGGAGAAAGUUACUAGGUUGCCCUGUUCUCACUAUUACCAUUGUGAUUGUAUUAUGCCAUGGCUAAAUAUCCGUAAUACAUGUCCUGUUUGUCGCCACGAGUUGCCCACGGAUAAUGCUGAUUAUGAGAGGGAAAAUGGAAGGAGUGCUGGUUCAGGACAUGUUAAUGAUUUUCAGGUUAGAUACAAUUUUGAAUCUGUACUCUGACAUUGCAAAUUCUGUUCUGUUGACAGAUUUCGUGGACAUAUUACUAAUCUCAUUUUAGCUGAGCAUGUUGAAAAUCUAUUCAUAUCAUUUUCUUUUUUUUCUUCCUUUAACUUUUUGUGUUGGUACUGUAUAUGUAAAGUUGCCAAUUUUAUUCUGAUAGUAUCACAUAGACAGCUAGUUGGAUUACCACCGAAAAAUGAUGAAAACUCUAAAUCUCUGUAUAUUCAAAGGUUAGUAGUUUAGUAAUCCCUCCAUUUAAAAAAGAGCGUCCCUAUUUCCUUUUUAGUUUGUUUAGAAAAGAAUGUACCCUUUCCUUUUUUGGCAACACUUUAACUUUCUAGGUGGUAUGUUUAAGACCACAAUAUUAAAGUACAUUUUGGUACAUUUGACAUAACUUAAUUUAGAACCACAAAAUUAAAAAAAUUCUUUCUUUUCUUAAACUCCGUUCCAAGUCAAACUAGGUCAUUCUUUUUGAAACGAAGGGAGUACUAUUUUGGAAAUUUAGAGUUGGUUUUGUUUUUCAAUGAGAUGGUGAAAGUGUACACCAUAGAAUUAUUAGAUCUUUUUUUCUUGUCCAACUUGAAAUGGUUGCCGAAUCAUUAUCUUGGUAAUAUGCUGGGGAAGCUUUUCAGAAUCUUGACCUUAGUGUAUUCUAAUAUUUCUAAUAUAUCUAGUUGUACUAAAGAUCUUGCAUCAUAUAGUGAUGCUUACCUUUUUUUUUUUAUAAUAUUCACAUAAUUAUCAAAUCUCUGGAUUUGUAACUUGCAGCAUGUUGUCUUCACAUGUGUUUAUCAUAUAUAUUUACUUUCUUAUCAGAACUUCUAGAGCCUUUUGAUUUCUGCUUUCUUUUGACAAGUAAAAGAAUUUCGUUACAUUGGCUACAUUAGCACCAAGUACCUCUUCAAAGUGGAUACAAAAUACAACAGCUCCCUAUACUUCCUCUGGAAUCAUGGUCCAACCCUUUUGGUGCUGCUUGCCAGUAAUCCUUCCUUACCAGCUGAAAUAAGUUCCCUUUAGAGGCAUGGACAUCAUCAACUUUGUGUGUAUAAAGGAGCAUAUUCAAUAACUGUGUCAAGAGACACACAACUAAAUAAAUGAUUAGCGUCUUCAACUCUCUGGCACACAUUAGCAGCUGUUAAACAUAAGCGUACCUUUUAUCUGGGGAUAACAUCAGGUCAAACAAAUGUCAUGAAUAGCAGUCCAGCUGAAGCGAACCACCUUAAGAGAUACUUUGUUUAUUCAGAUCUUCCCCAGACCAGUUUAUGCUGUACUCUUAGCUAUUUUUAAUGCAUUGUAGGCUGUAGAAUUGCUUGAUAAAGAAAGAUCCACAUUUACUUACCCCCAUCUCAAGGAGUGACACUCAUUUGUUGUCUCUUAUACCACUUAUACAAUAUCAAAUUAUCAAUAACUAAGAUGAUAGGGUAUCAAAUUUCCAAUUAUAACA